rnacentral:rRNA from 1 species
AUUGAACGCUGGCGGCAGGCUUAACACAUGCAAGUCGAGCGGGGUGAUGGUGCUUGCACUAUCACUUAGCGGCGGACGGGUGAGUAAUGCUUAGGAAUCUGCCUAUUAGUGGGGGACAACAUCUCGAAAGGGAUGCUAAUACCGCAUACGUCCUACGGGAGAAAGCAGGGGAUCACUUGUGACCUUGCGCUAAUAGAUGAGCCUAAGUCGGAUUAGCUUGUUGGUGGGGUAAAGGCCUACCAAGGCGACGAUCUGUAGCGGGUCUGAGAGGAUGAUACGCCACACUGGGACUGAGACACGGCCCAGACUCCUACGGGAGGCAGCAGUGGGGAAUAUUGGACAAUGGGGGGAACCCUGAUCCAGCCAUGCCGCGUGUGUGAAGAAGGCCUUAUGGUUGUAAAGCACUUUAAGCGAGGAGGAGGCUCUUUUGGUUAAUACCCAAGAUGAGUGGACGUUACUCGCAGAAUAAGCACCGGCUAACUCUGUGCCAGCAGCCGCGGUAA